ensembl:snRNA U6 U6 spliceosomal RNA
GUGCUUGCUUCGGCAGCACACAUACUAAAAUCAGAAUGAUAUGGAGAAGAUUAGCACAGCCUCUGCGCAAGGAUGACGUGCAAAUUCAUGAAGCAUUCCAUAUUUUU